AAUUGGUACCAAAACUUUAAAUUUGGUAUCGCCCCUUGAUAGCUUUGUCGGAUGUUCUAAAAAGGCAUCAACUUCAGGUCCUUUGAAGCUCGGAUGAUUAAGCUUACGAACGGCGUUUUCGUUAUUUUCCCUUUGAUUUCUCUGUGUUUUUUUCCCGAAUACUACUUUGAGUGGGUACCGAGAAUUUUGGUUUGUUGGAAACGGCCAGAACGGGCGAGGAGUCUUCGAAGGAAGGAGUUGCGGCUGAAACGACACCUAACUAUUUCGGGUCAGACUUCAAUGGACUCGGGUCUCGGGUCAGGCUCCGGAUCCGGGUCUGUGGGGCUCCACUUGUACUUGGGCUGCUGGAUUUGAAUGUGUAACACUUGUAUUUGGUUUUUGGCCUUAUUCUAUA